GAAAUGCGAUAAGUAAUGUGAAUUGCAGAAUUCCGUGAAUCAUCGAAUCUUUGAACGCACAUUGCGCCCUCUGGUAUUCCGGGGGGCAUGCCUGUCCGAGCGUCAUUGCACACCCUCAAGCGCGGCUUGUGUGUUGGGCCUUCGCGUCCCCCGUGGACGGGCCCGAAAGGCAGUGGCGGCACCAUGUCUGGUCCUCGAGCGUAUGGGGCUUUGUCACCCGCUCCCGUAGGUCCAGCUGGCAGCUAGCCUCGCAACCAAUCUUUUUAACCAGGUUGACCUCGGAUCAGGUAGGGAUACCCGCUGAACUUAA
rnacentral:misc_RNA from 1 species